UUUUUCAAAAUAGCAAAAAAUAAAUAAAUAAAUUAAUACUCAAAUUAACCUGACCCAAAGACUUCAUAGCUCAAUGGACUUCUAUAUACUUAGAGUAGCCAUUCAAAAUAGAAGCUAGGGAACGUCACAUUUUAUAGUUCACUAUUAAAUAUUUUUGUGCACGUAUCCACCAUCAAAACAAACAAAAUCCCACAGGUGAGAGCUGAGAGCACCAGCAGCUUUCUGCCCUUUUGAAUGUCCCUGCCUGUACUCAGUCAGGCCUGGUCCUCUAAGACUUAGCCUUUCGUGUUCUCUUUCCUUCAUGUUAUAGCACACCAUACGCACAUCUGCUUACAUAUAUGGAUUCGUUAAUGGGUACAUUCCAUACGAGGGAAAACAUGUAUGUUUCUUUCUCUCUCUCUUUCUUUCUCUUUCUUUCUUUCUCUCUCUUUCUUUCUUCCUUUCUCUCUUUCUUUCUUUCUUUCUUUCUUUCUUUCUUUCUUUCUUUCUUUCUUUCUGAAAUUCUGUGGCUUUGCUUAAUAUACAUCCUAAGUCCACCACUUUCCUAAAGAUUUUGUGAUUUCAGUUUUCUUCAGAGAUGAGUAUGUGCACACACACCUCUCAAUUAUAGCAUAUACAUCCAUAUACACCAUAUACCAUAUGUCCAUCAUCUGCUGAUGGACAACUAGGCUGACUCCAGGUCUGCUGCUAUAGCAGAUGAAGUAGCAGCAGACCAAGGGCCGCUAGAAGACAGCAGAGCUCUUGGGUACAUUCCCAGGGGUGAGGGAGAGAGCUGGGUCCUAACUGGUACCCACAAUGCACUCCUACUAACAGAAAAUAUGGGUUCUUUUUUUCCCACAUCCAAUAUUGGCUGUGAGAUUUAUUACAAUAACCAUUCUGACUAGGGUGAAGUGGUAUCUCAUAGUAGUUUUAACUUACAUUCCCCUGAUGGCUAAGAAUACUGAAGACAUUUUAAAACAACUAUUGGCCAUUUGUGUCCCUUUCUUCUUGUUUUGUAAAUGUUUACUCAGUUCACUUCCCAUUGUUGAUUGGCAGGUUUGUUUCAUGGCUACCUAACCGCUACAACUCUUUGCAUCCUGAGUAUUAAUAUUGACCCCUUGUCUGAAGUGUAGAUGGAAAAGAUCUCUUCCCAUUCAGUUUGUUUCAUUGUUAUUAUCUGGGAAGGAGACUCUCAAGAUUCUUGAGAGGCCAUAAAAUUGGCCUCCAGGCAAGUCUGUUGGGCAUUUCCUUGAUGAAUGACUGAUAGAGGAGGACUGGCCCUCCCUGUGGGGGUGCUUCCCCUGGCAAGUGGUGCUAAGUCAGAUAAGAAAACCCGCUGAACAAGCAGUGAGGACCAAGCCAUAGCAGCACUCCUCCAUGGCGUCUGCCUUCGUUUCUGUGCCCAGUUCCUGCCCUGGCUUCCCUCAAGAUCAACGGUGACAUGGAAGUGCAGGCUCGAUAUCCUUUCCUCCCCAAGUUGUUCUAGUCAUGGUGUUUUAUCACAACAACAGAAAUCCUAAGACAAAUAUCCUCUAUGGUUUUUUUUCCUAGAAGAUGUAGAUUUUAAAUUAAGAGUUUUGAUCCAUUUUAAAUGGAGUUUUGUAAAAAGUGAAAGAAUAUUUCAUUCUUCUGCAGGCUGUCUUUUCAGCUAUAGCCAUCUACGUAGAUGCAGACGCAGAUGCAGAAGAAUAUUAAACUUUUAAGGUAAAGUAUAGUAAUGUCUACACCUAGUAGGGCUUUGGUUAUUCAAGGUCUUUCGUGGUUCCAAAUGAAUUCCUGUAUUGUUUUUAUCUAAACUUGUAAAAAAUGUCACUGGAAUUUAGAUGGGCAUUGCGCUAAUUAGUUGGCAGUACAGCCAUUUUCACAGUAUUGAUUCUGCCAAUCCAAGAACAUGUAAUGUCUUUCUAUAAUCUAGUAUCUUGUAUGAUUUUCUUUUUUACAGUGGCUUGAAUUUUUCAUUGUAGAAGCCUUUCACUUCUUUGGUUACAUAUGUUCAUAAAUAUCUUAUCUUGGGAAGUUAUUUUGAAUGGAAUUUUUUUUCUAAUUUUUUUCUCUAAAAGUAUGCUGUUGGUAUAAAUGAAGGCCUGUUUUUUUAAACACUGACUUUGUAUCCUGCAUCUUUUUACUGUUCAGUAUUUCAUUUAAACAUCAAUUUCCUAAAAAGUAGUUCUUUUCUACUGAGUUGCCUUUUAUCUUGACAUCAGUAUGAUUUCUAUAGUAGUAAACUGAAAAGAAAUUUAACAGGAAAUGUUAGUGAAUGAGAACGUUUCUUUAAAUACUGGAGGUGAUACUACAUAAUAGAAUUAUUCUGCUAAGAAGCAGAAAAUGUAACCAAGCCACAUAAAUGACAAUGCAACAACUUUUCCUCCAGCCAACUAAAACUCUAAAAUGUAUGUUGACUGUUGCAGAUGACAACCAUAUGACUUGCUUUCACCCCUCCGGUUACAGUUACCCGGGGGAGCCCAUCCCUUUCACAGAGAAGUCCUCCCACAGAAAUGCAAACUGUCAGCUUCCUUUAGGCCAGGGAUUCUUCAAGUUACAAUUUAAGUUGAAACUUAACCAUAAUUAAUUUGUAUGACUUUAUUUUUAUCAGUAACCAUACUUCUAUUUACUGACUUCCGUUUACAAGACAUUACAGUAGCUCUUGGCGCUUCCCUACCCUGAGAAAUUGAACACAUCUUUUCACUUCAUUAAUGAUUGAAAGCUGAUUUAAUGCAAUUAUCUUAAGCUCAAUGGUAUCAAUAAUAAAAAUGAGAUGUUUCUAAAGUGUUUUCUUAAUAAAGUCUGAAAGACUAGACAAGAAAUGUGAAUCAAUCCAUUGCAUUUGAGUGACCUGUUACUCUUACAGAAAUGAGCAACCAAAUAAUGUAACUUCUAUGGCUCUGUACAUACCCUGAAAGUAAUUUGUAGGAUAUUUAAUUGCAAAAGAGAAAAAUCAAUUGUUCUGACAUUAUUUAUGCAAUGUAAUUAUUGAAAGUUACUGUAAACUAUUGUUUCAGUGAGCUUUCAGUCUCAAAUAUUUUAUUCAAGAAAAUAAAAAUAUGUAAAAACCACUGAAAACCAAUUAUUAUGCAUUUGUGACUUCCUAGUGAUAUAUUAUUGUAUACCACAAAACAUCUGACCUACCUAAAGUCAAUUCUAAACUAUGUAUUCUCUGAGGCUUUCUUUAAUAUUUUGAGUUCUAAAACUAGCAAUUGCAAAGCCAUAUAGGAUGUAUUCACUAAGAUAUACAGUGAUACACCAAAAGAAAGGUCUUGCUUCAUCUUAAAAUAAAUAAACACUAAAAUCAGCAAUAAUCAUCAUUGUGGAAAUGAUGACCACUGCUUCAGUAUGUAAUAAGAAUUUACUUAAAUUUUUAAAAAACUCAAUUAUUUUUACAUUAAGUUUUUUCUUGUUGAUAAAGGAUUCAAUACUAAGAAAAUUUAUUAUUUUAAACCAGACUGUAGUCCAAACACACACACACACACAUGCGCACAUGCAUGUAAUAUACAUCCACAAGCCAUAUAUGAUAACUCAUAAAAUCAGCUUGUAUAUGAAGUUAGUAAAUCAUAUUAUUAAGGUUAAAAUGUUCAAAUUGUAUACUGCUUCAUAACAAAAUAAUCUAUAAUCUUAAUUGCUAUCAAAUGGUCAGAUCAUUUUAAUUAUAAAACAAUGCAAACUUACAUAUGUAUAUAUGAAUGUACGUAUGUAUGUGGCCAGUACUCUACCAGAAUUGAAAUGCAAAGAUCUGUCAACUGAAAUGUGAAAAGAUAAUAGAAAUGCCAAUUAAAACAUUAAGUUCAUUUUAAGCACUUGAUUGUUUUUAAAACAUUGACUCUUACUAAAAUCUUUUCCUAACUUAUUAGAUAUGCAAGGUCAUUUUAAUACCAGAUAGAAACAUAUUACUAGCACUUUAACAUGCUUUUUCCAAUAAAUAUCAAUGGCAAGGAUAGAGAAAUCUAAGACACUUAAAUAGCCAUUUUUCAAAUUACUGGUGGGUUUGGUGAAUUAAUUUCACAUGACAUGAAUUCAUUCUUAAAUAUGAUUUUUAGAAGUCUGCUUUAGAUUGCAAGUUAUGUUAAAUGACGUAAGGCACACAUUUGGAAGGCGAGCACACUUUCUCUUAGGAAGGACUGAAGCUCCAUCUAGAGGCCCUGCUCCUGCCACUGUCACUUGCAGUGUAAGUGUCUCACCUAGAAAGGGGAAGAGUAGGGAAAUGUCAGGGAUCUCCUCCGCACAGGCCUUUUGUUAUUCAUAAUGAGUUCCUCCUGACCCCCGCAGGGAGCCUCUAGCUCCAUCACUGCCAUCAAGUGGCACAAAACUAAAACUGAGCCUAAGACAGGAAAGCAGUGUAGUCUGAUCACCUGCGCACUGUGUAAGUUAUCUUUCUCCCACGGCAUUUACUAUGUCAAUUCUAGGGAAAGCACAGUCAUGCUGUUUUCUCAAAAAUAUCAUUUUUCUUUUUUCUUGCCUUUUCUUCUUUUUUUGUUGUAUUUUGUUUUGUUGUUUUUCAGCACAGGGGUUCUCUGUGUAGCCCUGCUGUCCUGCAUCUCAUUCUACAGACCAAACUGUCCUCAGACUCAGAGAUCCACCUGCCUCUGCCUCCUGAGCCCCAGGGAUGAAGGCUGUGCCACCAGGCCCAGUUUGCACCUGGUCUUUCUAGCUGAAGCUGGAGCUGAAGAUUUUUAAGUUUGCCAAUGUAUAAUGAAAAAAAAUACUUUGAACAAAAUGUAUGUACAGAAUUUCAUGGAUUACUUCCCUGACAGGGAUAAUAGGGAGAAAAUGAGGAAUUGUUUAAGACUAGUAACUGUACGCAAGAGCAGUGAGUAAGAGGGCAGAUGUCUUCUAUCCACUAUGCAAAUAAGCCUGGGGUUUAAUAAAGGGGAUCCUGUCCCGUUUUAUAAAUCAUAUCCUUGGAUUGUAGUUUCAACAACGUUUCCCCAAAAUGUUAUCAACAGUCUGAAUGAAAAAUUUCCUGAGAAGGAAAUAACAAGAAACAGCAAGAAGUUCAAAUAAAAUGAAAAUCUCCUUUUUCUUAAUUAAGUAAUGGGAGCUAGGGCUUUACUGAACCCAGGAAAAAGAGAUGUGAAAUAAUGAAGUACAAACUAUGAUAUAACUACAAAGAUUAUAUGAUAUAUGAAGGUAGAUUAAACUCAGUCUCAAAAUGUUUAGUAUCCCCCAAACUGCUAACACAUAUUUAAAGGUUAUUCUUUUUAAUUUAUAUACUUAUAGAAAGCUUUACAAUGUUCUAAUUUUAUUCUUUUAGGGAGAUUGUAAUACUUUCUGAGAAGCCUGAUUUUAAAUUUCAUAGAUACUGAAAACUCUAAUUUUGAUUAUAAGUAUAGAUUUACUAACUGAAUCAACAACUUAUCAAGAGCAGCGAACAUCUCUACUAUGGGGUAAGGUCUACUCCACGUUUCAUAUGUAGAAUUUCAAAGAAACCUCUCAACACUCUUCAAAACAAGCACAACUGCCAUCCCAUUGAUUCAAACUCUAAGCAAACAAAUAGAGCAGCCCUGAGGCAUACAGGGCUUUUGUAAUGACCUCAGCCAGAGUAAGCACUGGGGCUCUGGAAGGCAGCGUAGCAGUAAUGACUCUUACACAAGCCCGUUUUCCUCAUCUAUGCACUACUGACGUUUUGAAUAGAUACUUCUGUGUAGAAGUUGUUCUGUGUCCCGUAGGAUGUUUAGCAGCACUCAGUCUCUCCAAACAGAUGCCAAGAGUGAGGGCUCAAUGCCAGCUCUCCUUUCUUUCAGCUUGGGUAACAAAAAUGUCUCCAUACCAGUGUCUCCACCGUUAAAUGUCCCAGCUAGGGAAAAUAAGAUUCAUUAGUAGACAUGUAAUUUAUAGCCCUGAAGGUACACUGACGAACAAUGAAACUGUUUUCUAGUUGUAAGUUAGCUGCUGCAACUGCGUUGGUAUCUCUAUUAGGGUUGCAGCCAUCGUUUUUGGAUUCCAUGCUUUUUGUGUUAAGGGAGGUCUCUUCUACCAGCCUGCACUCCAGACCAACUGGGAGGAAAAAAAAAAACCUUAAAUUUUUAAAUUUAAAAAUGUGAAGUAUGGGGAGGGUGAUGUCUGUCCGGAAACCGGGAAAGGGAAUAACACUUGAAAUGUAUAUAAGAAAUACUCAAGAUAAUAAAAAAAUAAAAUAAAAUAAAAAAAAUGUGAAGUAUGUAGCUUUAAUCUUUUAUAACAAACACACAUAACAUUGGUUUGAGUGAUGUCUUGAAAUGCUAAUUUUAAGUGACCAAGGGUUUACUGUCACCCCCAUUUAAAAUAAACUGUCCUUUAGACCACAAAAAAAAAAUUAGUUGCUGCCUCACACAUUAUAAAUAUACAAAUGGUGUAGAAUGGUAAUAAUCUAAGAUUUAUAAUCUAAAACCACCAAAUGAGGAGCAAACGUGAUAGUGAGAGGAUUAUAUAGGAAAUAUGAAGACAGUCAGAAGUAGUUGUUUCUAGCAAAUAGAACUGAGGGACAAAAUAGAAAAAUAGAGGACUAUAGCCUUUUAAUUUACAUUUGUAUUACAUUAACUUCUUUUUCUGAGAUGGACUUAACUUGAGAUUCUUUUGCCCUAAAUACUGACACUACAAACAUAUUCCUUCAUAUCAGGUUUGUUUUUCUUUUUAAUGUUUUUUCAAUUGAUAAAAUUAUAUGUGUAUAUUGUGUGUACUUACACAAUGUAGGUGGGAUUUUGUUGUUGUUUGUUUGUUUGUUUGAGACAGGGUUGUCUCUGUGUAGACCUGGCUGUCCUGGAACUCACACUAUAGACCAGGCUGGCUUCCACAUCAUGAGAUAAGCCUGCCAAGUGCUGGGAUUUAAGGUAUGUGCUACCACACCCAAACUGCGGUUUAAAAUAUAUAUACGUUAUAGGAUUACUAAAUUGAACUAAUUAACCUAAAUACCUUAUCAUUUUUCUAUCCUUUGUGAUGAGAACACUUAUCAUGAACUAUCCUGCAUUCAAUUCUACAAUACACUAUUUUUGUUUAUUAAAAAUAGAAAGUUAGAAAGCUGUUCUUACUAUAGUCAUCUCUGUUGCAUUUACUUAUGUAAAUUGUUUCUCACCCAUUUCUCUGUUAGACUCAGCUCACAUGCUAACAAAGCAUAUGACAAAUUCAUGACUAAAAGACUGAUCCCAAUAAAACAAAAGUUGCUUAAACAGGAAUUGGAAAGCUGGCAACUUGAACAACAACUAAACACAAGAAGUACUGACUGUCAAGAAUGCUACUUAAAGAUCCAUAAAGGCGGGUAGACAUUCUUCUUGUCAAAUUAUUCUUAUGUAUUUUAAAAGUAAUUUGUCAUGUAUUUUGUCAUUUGUGACUAUAGCAAAAUUUCUUUUCAUACUAUUUUGAAUAGUUACUUUAUGAUUAUAUAUCCUUUAAGGCAAGUAGAAUAAUGAGAGCCUCUUUCUUAAUGGAACUUUGUUAUUAAUAUUCUCUUCAUCUUUCUUUUUUUGCUUUUACUACUGUGAACUAAGUUUUAUAUAUGUGUGUAUGUAUGUAUAAAUAUUGUAAUUUCUGCUUUUGCUCAAAAUUUUUCCAUUCAAGUGAUGUUUAUAUUCCACUAAAGUUAACUUAAUAAAAUUUAUUUAAAACAUCAUCUUUUAAAAACACACUCAUUUUGUACUCUAUCAACCUAGGAACUAAAUAUGUUUUAGAUAGUUAAGCUAUUAUCUUUCACUAGUAUUUUUACUUAUCUCUUUGCUGUUUUCUUUCAGUUAUUUAUAGUUUUUCAUAUUUUGCUUUCUAUUAGUUAUUCAAGUAAUAAUGAAGAAACAGGCACACCCUUCUUCAAAGCCCCACUACCAAAAAAGCAUCAGCUGGUAUAUACAAUCUAUGCUUCUAAAAACACACUUACUCUUAUGUAUGUGUACAUGCAGACAUGUUCUACUUUGCAGUACAGCAUCAUUAAGCAAAGUGCUUUCCUUGUAUGCAGGACUCAUAAUGCCUGUUCUAUCUCUUCAUUCAUUUGUGUAUUAGGUUUACUGCAAUAUUCAUCAUUUUAAUGUAAAAUGCUACUUAAUGACAAUUUUUAAAGACUUGGCUAUUACUAGAAACAUAGUUGAGAAUGUCUCCUGUAAAUCAUAUGUUAAUUUAGCAUAAAAUUAUGAAGAAAUAAAACAAAAACUACAAUGAGAUUUUAAAACUUAAAUAUUUCUUACAUGUAAAAAUACUAUGACUAAGGAUUUUUUUACUUUCUAAUGCAUUUAUAGAAAGCUUAGCUACUUCACAAAAGACAUUGCUUUUAUUUACUUAUUUAUUUAUGCAUGCAUGUGUGUGUGUACCUGUACGUGUGCAUGUGCGUGUGUAUGUGUGAUGCACUCCAGACCAUGCAUGUGGAAGCCUUGUAAGAUGACGAUCUGUGGGCCUCUGCCCAUCUUCUGUCCAUUUAAAAUAGAAAUUGUACAUUUCAAAAAGAUGUAUGGGUCAGCAAAAUGGCUUGCUGGCCACCAAGCCUAACAAGCAUCAUUCAACUCUGGGGCUCAUGUUGGGGAAGAAGAGUAGCAUCUCUAGUAAGUUAUCUUCUGACUUCCACAUGCUCACCAUGACAUGUGUCCUGCUCCUUUAAGUAAAUAAAUAAAAUGUAAUAAUAAAAAAAAUUAGUGUUUGUACAGAAUCCCUAUAAUCCAGUUCCAAAGUACUCCCUUCCAAAGUUCCAUAUCUUUCUAUGUAUAGAUUUGGACUCUCUGGGCAUGUCAGACAAUAGAAAGGAUGAGAUUUUCAGAUCUACUUAAGUAUUAGAUUUAAGAACAAAUAUCAUGUUUCACUUUUUUAGCAGUAUUUUCAUUUAUCAGCAUGCUUAGCUCACUUGGGAAAGGCAUAGCUAAAUUGCUUUUUCCUUUCCCUUCUUUCUUUUCACAAAGUUUUACUUGCAACACUGAGUAUAGGACACAUGGAGGACACCAAGGGCAGACCUUAGAAACACUUGAGAUAUUUCUCCUAAACACAGAGUGUACCUCAGCUUUGGUAACAACCCAUUUAACAUAUAUCCUCUAAACUUGGAAUUCUAUGUCUGAGUGAAAUUUCAUCCUCUAAAAAUUUUGGUGUCAUUCUUGACUCAUUUCGCUCUCAAUAUCUACAGCCAAUUCAUUAGUAAAUUCUACUGGCUCAUAUAUUAGCUGCUCAGAUGCUCAGGAGGGUUGAUGAGAUUCCUGUUGGGGAAGUGCUUGUCUAGGAUCAAUGAGAGAUGCUCUGUCCAAAAAAAAAAAAGCCAGAGAGAGCUAUAAGACCACACAUUGAUCUCUGGCCUUCACAUGUACAUGCACACACAUCUGUGAGUAGCACCCCCCCAACAAAUAUGUACAUGUAUGCAUGUAUAUAUGUACACAUACACACACAGCGUGGAGAAGGGGGAAAGAAGGGAGGGAAGAGAGGAUAUACUCAACAUGUGAACACUACCACGGAGCGUCAAACCAUCACUUCUUGCCUGAAUCACAGCAAAUCCUAAUUUAUUUCCCAACUAUAACCCUAGCUUGGCAUCUUCUCUAAUGGUUUAUUUCUGGCACAGAACUGGCACACACUAAAAUAAAAAACAGACGCAGUCAAAGUCUUUAAUUGAUAACUUGUAAGGCAGCUAUGCUCACCAGUAACCACUGAUGCAUAUUAAUUGGUAUCUUGGGAAUUACAAUUAAUAGUGUAAACUUAUCACAACCUAUUUCCUUACAAUAGCCUAGAUGAUCACUUAGAAAAUAACUUUAAAGAUACAGAGCAGGAAAGAAAAAGGGAAUCCAAACAGUAUACUAUAAAAAACAGCCAACUGAAGGGCAGGGUACAGCUCAUGGGCAAAGCACUCCCCAGCAUGAUACAUUGCUAGCCAUUGUUUUGCUAGUGAGACCAAAAAUUAAAUAGACACAAAAACUGGCUGUACUGGAGGAUUUAAUAAGGAACAAAAACUACACUAUUUAAAGAAAACAGUACCCCCCACCCCGGCAUAGUGGCACUUGCCUAUAAUCCCAGCACAGGGAAGGCUAAGGCAGGGUUCUGUGUUGAAUAUCUAAGGUCAUCCGCAUCUACAGAAAAAGAUUCUGUCAGAAAGAUAAGAUUUCGGUUUCAAAAGAAUACAAAUGACAGAAAUAUUUUUUAAAUGUUCAACAUCUUAGCCAUUAGGGAAAUGGAAAUCAAAACUACUUUGAGAUUUUUAUCUUACUCCGUUUCAUAAUGGCUGAGAUACAAACAAACAACAGCAAAACUCCAGGUGACAAUAAGUGCUGGAGGGUGUGGGGAAAGGGGACACUUAUUUAUUCACCGGCGGUGGGAAUGCAAGCUGGUGCAGCCACUGUGGGAAUCAGCGUGGAGGUUCCUGCAAACGCUGGCAAUAAGCCUGCCACGCGCUCCUGGACACAGAACCCAAGGACCCCACUCCACACCACAGCACGCUGCGAGGAUCGCGAGGGUCGCGGUUGCUCAUUCAUGCCCGCCGCGCUCUCACAACAGCCAGGAAAGGAACAACCAGCACGAUGGACACACUGGCUGGUCCUGUGUCAGCUUGACACGAGCUGGAGCUAUCACAGAGAAAGGAAAUGCCUCCAUGAGACCCAGCUGUGAGGUGUUUCCUCAAUUAGUGACCAGGGUGGUGGGGGAGGGCCCAUUGAGAGUGGGAUCUAUAAGAAGCCAAGCUGAGCAAGCCAGAGGAAGCUGUUCAGUCAGCAGCGCCCUCCAUGGCCUCUGCAUCAGCUCCUGCCUCCAGGUUCCUGCCCCGUGUGAGUUCCUGUCCUGUCCUUCGGUGAUGAACAGCAAUGUGGAAGUGGAAGUUGAAUAAACCCUUUCCUCCCCAGCUUGCUGCUUGAUGAUGUUUUGUGCAUCAAUAAAAACUCUAAGAAAAUGGGUAAUAAAAAUAUGGUAUAUUAUACCUGUUCUGCUGUAAAGAAAAGUGAAAUUUUCAAAUAUAUGGAUAAAGAUACAAAUAAUCAUUCUGAGUGAAAUAACUCAGAUCCAGAAGAACAAAUGUCAUACUUCUCUUUCAUAUUCAGAGGUUAACUUUGAGGUUUUAGAGACCUGUAUUUAAACUGGAAUGACCAUAGGAAAACUAAGGGGCCAUGAGGUCGGGGGACUUGCAAGGAAGUGGGCACAGACCUCAGGUGGUAUGAAAGGGAAUGGAGACUAAUAAGAAAGAAUGAGGGAGUGAGUGGGAAACAGAGUGGAGGAGGGAGUAUGAGGAGGGAUAACUAAUACUACAGACCUUUGUGAAGGCCAUAUGGAAACCUACUUCUGUAGAAGCUUCCUGAAAUAUAUACAAAUGAUUAUGUAAAAAGAUUUCAAAUCCAACUAUCCUAUAAUACAAGAAUAGUCCAACUAGACAUGAUACAUUGCCAAAUAAAAACUCCAGAACUGAGAAAUAGACCCUCUUUUUGAGCUGGUGGCCAGUUAUGUUGAUAAGCCCUCAAAUGUUACAGGCUACUGCUUAUACUUCCCAGAACUUCACAGUGAGACUCAUGAUGAAGACACCUAUACUUGAGUCAUGGAACACUGGGAACUCAUGCUAGGACCUACCUGGAAGCUCCAUCUGACUGGCCAUCUUUCAUAGUGCUGGAACUUGCCCUGUAUGCUACAGGGGUGGGCAGAAGCAAAAGUAAUUAGCAGUUCUUCCCAACUCUGAGUCCUCGGUUCUUUCCAAUUAGGAGCCCUCUGAGCUACACUGACUGGGCUGGUAAGACAUGCCCACUGGUGUAAGUGUGACACAAAUGUUAUAGGAGUAACCAACUACUUUAAGGCUUAUUCCACACUUAUGCCUGGCACCAUUAACAGGACCAAGAAUAUGUAGCUGGGUAGAUCAUAGGUCCUAGGGGGAAAACCUACUACUAUUAUUCUACUAGAUGGAUAUUGUAUUAAGCUAUCCCUAAGUAUUUAUCUUUAUACCCAUAAAUUAUACAUCUCUCAACCUUCAUCAGAGAGGCUUGCUUUUGUAGUUGAUGGCAAUUAACACAGAAAUCAUCAAUUAGUCAAACUGGAGAGAAUAACAGAUUCCAGAAUGCUCAGCUCUAAACAGGGCAGCUGCAUCAAACACAUGCUCUUCCCAAGGCUCAGGAAUCAUAGUAGAAGAGAGGCAGAAAGGUUAUGUGAGCUAUCAGUAGUGAAUGCCUAUUUCAAAAAGUGUUUUCUGGUCAUAACAGGGCAAUUUCACACAUGUACUCACAUUAGUUCUUACUGUACGCAUAAGACCUGUGCUAGAUCAAGUUAAAAAAAAUCCCAGUAUAUGUGAGGAAGGGGUCAUGAAGUCCUACUAUUGAGAGCGAUGCCUGCUGGAAAAGGAAAAGCCAGUGUUCAUAAGUGAUACUUCCUUGGGAGGCUUGCUAUGUUCCCGCACACAGUCCCCAUACUCAUUCACAUACUGGCAGCACUGUGGACUCAGUGGUGUGAAGACAAUGCUAAAUAUCAUCAGUCACGAGAAAGUGCAAAUCAAAAUGAUGAUAUGUAGCACUUCAUGUCUAGAUGACUACUUUUUUUUAUUCAAAAUAGAUUUUUUCAUACAAUAAACACUGAUUAUUGGUUUCCUCUCUUCCAACUCCUCCCAGAUCCUCCCCAUACUUCCCCAUCCACCAAAACACACACCCUUUCUCUCUCAAAACAAUAGUAAGAUAAAAUAAGAACAAACAAACCAGAAUAGGAGAAAAUACAUAGAGGUUGAGGGGUUAGGGAAGUCAGGAGAACCAAGAAAAAAACACAAGAAACACAUAUGGUUGAUGAAACACAUUCACACAAAAAGGAAAUCCCCCUAAAAUCAAAUAUAUAUGUGAAAGGUCUGUAAAGAAAAAACUCCAGAAAAGCACAAACAAACAAAACCCUCAAAAAAUAGCAUUGUGUCUUUUUCUGUUGGCUUUACUGCUAGGCAUGGGCCUGCCCUGAAGUAUGGUUCCUAUAUCCUGUGAGACUCCUCCCUUGGAGAAAACCAAUCUUUCCUUUGUGAGAGGAAUCGCCUGGAGAUAGCUUCUGGGUCAAGGAUAAAGGUGUGUCCACUUCCCUGCAGUGUGUCGUGUAGGUAGACCAUCAUCACUGUAGAUCACAGUGUGUAGCUGGGUUGGUAUUUGCCAUUCCC